rnacentral:lncRNA from 1 species
AGGACCACCCCGUGGGCAGGCUCCUAGGUCACGGGAAGGUGGGUGGGCUGCUCAGGGCCGAGGGUGGGGGGUGGGCGGAGGCGUGCAGCCAGAGAGCUCCGGACGUGCCCAGCUUUCCGCGGCUCCACGUUCUCUCCCCCGUCAAUCCUGCUGGGUUUAAGGAAAGCUGGCUGUCUGGAUGUGGGGGAGGGCGUCCCGGUUGCCCCCUGAGACACCACACCCACUCGCCAGCACCUGGAAGACUUCCACGGGGCCUGCCAGAUCCAGUGUCGGGCCUGCUCACCCGGAUCCCAGGCAAGAAGUCUGCAGCCACGGAACCCGGGCGUGAAGGGAGACGAGGUGGCCCACCUACCCUCUCCACCGGGAGUUCGGCCCGGA